UAAAAAUAAAAAAAUUUUGACAAUUUGACAGUUUUCAGCUAACUUCAGAAUAAUGUAAACAAAGGGAUAGAAGAGAUGAGACAUUAUAAUCGUGGUGCGUUGUCACGAAUAUUACACAAUAUCUCUAGCUCUAAGGCAACUAUCGAUCAUCGCGCGGAUCAUCUGUGAGAAAGUAGAAAGCGACCAUAAACUAUUAUGAAAUAAUAAUAAAAGGAGUCAAGGAGCCUUGGACGUCGAAAAUUUUUCGUGGUAUCACCGGGGUACACGAGUAAAGAGUCAGAGUUUGCAGGUUAAAUGUCACGUGUCUAAAAUUAUUUCUUCCAUCCGACAAUGCGACACUGUCAACAGUAGAUGUAAAUGAUACUGGAUCUUAGAUAGAUUAAGGGGAAAAUAAAACAACAACCUCCAUGUUAAUAACUUUCACUGUCAAAGGGUAUAGCUUUCGUUGCAUGACCUUGAUGUACUACUGGCUUUAUCUGGAUAUCUACCGAGUUGUGUGUGGAUUUACGAGAGUAAGACUCCCACGAGUCGUGCGCACAUGUCCUCGGUCCCCGAAGAAGCAAAGUGCCUCGGUGGCUGGUUACCGCUAGCGAAGCAAUCCAUAUUCUAAGCACACUAAGUAGGAAGAAGACGAAGAAAAAGGAAGAAGAAAUGGUAUGGGUUUGCGAAUAAGUUAAGCCUGAGGAAUCGUGCGAGCUAUUGCCGAGGUGAAAGGUGAAAGUCGCAUCAGUUAGACUCAUCUGCUCGGCACGAUCUGAGGAGAUGUCUGUGGUCGUGAAAAUUCUACUACACUGGUACAUUUGUGUGGAGUACACUAGAGAUAGAAGUGUUGCAUGAUGCAUAUCCAACACUGGGUAUCUUCUCUGGUUACCAGGCUAUCGUGGACGACAUCCGAGAGAAAAUAAUAAAAUUAGCGCAAAAACCUGACUCGAGAUUUCAUUGUGGAUUGUGGUGUUAAUUAUUCGCCAAUUAACACGCGGAGCCUGAUGAAGCAAGCUUGCGUAAUCUGCGAAAAAACCAGGGUAUAUCAUCUGAGAUUUAAUAAUCGUAUCAUUGUACACCGUGGGCGUAAUACUAAGCAAUAUAAUUAUCGUGCGAAUUCGUGAUAUUUUUAGUUUGUAGCCACGGGAACGCUCAACUACAUCUACCUUGCUUUGUCUUGAGCGCUACUGUUUGUGGCUAUUCAAGCUUGGUUAACAUUAUCUCCAGUGUGCAUAACCGAGAAGAAGAUGAUGAUGGAACAGACAAAGAAGAAAGACAAGAGGAGUCAAACUUUAGCUCAAACGUGUAAUCAUUUUCACGUCUCGGUACUUUGGUUAAUAAACACUUUCAUAAUAUCACCGCGGUCAGGAUGAAACGACCUGGGUUACUUUUUUACGACUCAUUUACUUUAUUAUAAUUAUUAAUUAUUUAAUUAAAUUUUAUAAUUUUUUUAAUUAAUUUAUUUUUUUUUUUUUUUUUUUUUUUUUAGAAUUAUGAAACACUUCCUGUGUGUUAUGAAUAAUUAGUGUCGUUAGUCCGGAAGCGUGUUAAUUGUUUGGGCAAGGUGUUUAAACAGCGAAGAGGAGAGAAGAAAAAAAAAUAAGUGAAGAGUAGGACGGAUGAUGUUAAAAUAAAAUAGGAGAUUAAUGACUGACCUCGACGGUUCUUUCUAUUUCAACAAGUGAAAACAAAAAACACCAUCGUUUACUCUAGACAGAAUGACUGCGGUUUCAUCGGCGUGACGGCGUUAUCACUAAAUCGUUUUGUCAUAUACUUAAAACUCUUUUCUUCAUCUACAAUGCCAAUUUCAAUCUCAGUUGGCUGGGUACCCUGGCAUUAAAGCUGCGGUGUAGAAGUAUUUAACAACCCUCGUGGAUUAUAUUUUAUUUGCUAAAAUAUAAUAAAUUUAUAAAUUUAUGCCACGGCCAUAACUCUACCAUUUAAAUAGCGUAAAGACAGUAUUAAAUUUCUUAUGAUUUUAGUUUUAGUUAAACUCGUCUAAAGUUUAUCACCGUUAUUAUAAUAUUACGUAGUCAUAUGAAUUAUCUUGCAACCGAGUUUGCUAAAUUAUUACUUAUAAUAUUAACGCAACUUGUUGCUUUUUGUUUGGCUAAUCAUACGAGAAAUUGAGUCGUUGAGUUAUGGUUUAUGGUGAUGAAAAGUACGUCAUUAACUGAAAGUGACUGAGCUCAAGAUACGGUCAGACAUACGAAGAAUUCCUGACAAAAUUAUUAAAUUUUAUAUCUUCACCAUAUACGCUGAUAAUUUAUGCUAAUAUAUAUAGAGAAGAUAUAUUAUAGUAAAUAAUAACAUUGUAUUUAUUAUUUAUACGUAUUUUCUUUUUCAGGAAAAACUUUCAGAUGAGCGUCCUAUUGACCGUGGAGAUAAAAUCGAUAUAUUGUAUAUAUAUAUACAUAUACAAGCAUUAUAUAUUGUAUAUUCAAUCGGUGUAUACGGGUGAGAUUUGUGAGAUGCGACAAGUAAUGAGAAUCGGCGAAAGUCUCGUACAUUACAUGCGAUUAUAGAUAUCUCACAAGUUACAAGUUUAAGUGUAUAUUUAAAAUGAUUGAACAUCAUCAUCUUAUUGAAUGGCCUCCUCUUAGCUGUCAUUAUCAUUGUUGGCCUUUCGACCUUUUAAAAUUUGCCAAUCGGAUUAGCAAACACAGCUAAUUACUCUUUAAUUCACUAUUACAAAUACAGUUUUGUUAAAUUUUAUUCAAUUAUUACCUAAGAUUAACCUUUUACUGAAGAUAAAUUCACAAUCACAACAAUAAAGUUAAGAAGAAAAUGAAGAAGAAAUUAUUUUUAUUUAAAGACAAUUCGAGCAACAUGUCAAAAGUUAUUUUCGUUACUCUCACGACAAGAACGAUUUAAUCGUGAGAAUAACACGGUUAUAUUCUUCUUCUUUUUUGUUAAUAUUGUUGUUGUUGUUGUCUAUGUUACUGCGGUAAUUGUUACGACAUUAGUUAGUUGUUUGUUAAAUAAAAAAUUGAUUUUUCAUGAGAAUCACUUGGUUUAUGUUACAUGUUAAUAUUUUUAUCUGUUACAGAACUAUCUUCUUUAAUUUUAAUUACCAAAAUAAUUAAUGUAAUUUGUGUUAUAACAAGUAAUAAUUGGAGCGAAGUAUUAAAAUAUUGAGAAAUAACUUACGUUGCGAUGAAUAACGAUCCAGUAAUGAUCCAAGUAUUUGAUCCAGGGUAAUGAUGCACGAAGUGGCGUUAUUGCGAGAAAGGUGAGAGUGAAUAGCUGAGAGCAUCUUCAUCGGAGCUUUAUAUAGGAAUUGUAUCCCCUUACUUCUAGGCUGGUAGAAAGAGGAGGCCACCUCCUCCACCGACACCAUCACCAGCUCCGGCGCCGUCCAGAUCCUCAGAGUCCGUACCGCAGGAUCUUCAUGAAGAUUUAAUAACACACCUGGACCCAUUACUCCGGCAUGUGUUAUCUAUUAUCUAUCAACCGUCAGCGUGUAUGACACUGUUUCGCAAUUUACAUCCAGCCUGCCAAUAAACCGGCUGACUGUCAAUUAGACUCGGAAUCAGAAUCUACAAUUCCAGAGUGUCCUUCAAUUAAACUUAAACCUCAGAGAGCAGUAAAAAAAAAUUAAAAUAACUUGAAACAAGAUUGAGAUUUUGAUGAUUUUAUUUUUUAUUAAAAUUCAACUAUUUAAUUCGCGUUAUUCAAAGUCUUUUGUGUGAGUUUAUUGUACGGCAAGUCAGAGAGGUUGAGAGAAAUUUAUAUAUAUACACAUUACUUUUAAGUAGCCUUGCAUUUAAAUCUACAUUAUUUUGUAAUAUAUUUCUUCUGAGAUUUUAUUUAAAAUAACUUAUCGGUUCAACCGUGUCUUAGUAAGUGUAAUUUUAAUUGUAAUUGUAAUUUUUAUUUAAAUUUAAAAUAACCUUAUUAAUUCAAAGCGAUGGUGAUACCUGAAUGAUCCCAACUAGGAUUUUAAAUAUUAUUGAGGCACUUGCCAGCGCGGGUGACUCAUCGCGUAAGAGCAGUUGAGUCGAAAAAUGUUUUAAUUACAAUUUUUAAAAAAGUGUUGGGCUGUGCGAUAAUUA